UGACUGAAUGGAAGAGUGCAU
rnacentral:miRNA from 1 species